UACGUAGGGCGCAAGCGUUGUCCGGAAUUAUUGGGCGUAAAGAGCUCGUAGGCGGCUUGUCACGUCCGCUGUGAAAGCCCGGGGCUUAACCCCGGGUCUGCAGUGGAUACGGGCAGGCUAGAGGUAGGUAGGGGAGAAUGGAAUUCCCGGUGUAGCGGUGAAAUGCGCAGAUAUCGGGAGGAACACCGGUGGCGAAGGCGGUUCUCUGGGCCUUACCUGACGCUGAGGAGCGAAAGCGUGGGGAGCGAAACAGG
rnacentral:rRNA from 1 species